GACGAACGCUGGCGGCGUGCUUAACACAUGCAAGUCGAACGGAAAGGCCCUGCUUUUGUGGGGUGCUCGAGUGGCGAACGGGUGAGUAACACGUGAGUAACCUGCCCUUGACUUUGGGAUAACUUCAGGAAACUGGGGCUAAUACCGGAUAGGAGCUCCUGCUGCAUGGUGGGGGUUGGAAAGUUUCGGCGGUUGGGGAUGGACUCGCGGCUUAUCAGCUUGUUGGUGGGGUAGUGGCUUACCAAGGCUUUGACGGGUAGCCGGCCUGAGAGGGUGACCGGCCACAUUGGGACUGAGAUACGGCCCAGACUCCUACGGGAGGCAGCAGUGGGGAAUAUUGCACAAUGGGCGGAAGGCUGAUGAAGCAACGCCGCGUGCGGGAUGACGGCCUGCGGGUUGUAAACCGCUUUAGCCUGUGACGAAGCGUGAGUGACGGUAAUGGGUAAAGAAGCACCGGCUAACUACGUG
rnacentral:rRNA from 1 species